UGCAGUCGAGCGGAGUGAUGAGAAGCUGGCUUCCUUGAUGGUUAGGGGCGGAGGGGUGAGUAACAUGUGUGCAACGUGCCCUCAAGUGUGGGACAACUACCGGAAACGGGAGCUAAUACCGAAUAAUUGUUUUCUUCGCGGGAAGGAAACUGGAAGGACGGACCNCUCUGUCACUUGGGGAUGGGCCUGCCGCGCAUUAUCUAUUUGGUGGGGUAACGGCUCACCAGGGCGACUAUGCGUACCCCACCUGAGAGGGUGAUCGGCCACUCUGGGACUGACACACGGCCCACACUCCUACGGGAGGCAGCUAUGGGGAAUCUUCCGCAGUGGGCAAAACCCUGACAGAACAACGCCGCGUGAGUGAUGAGGGUUUUCGGAUCAUAAAUCUCUUUUGCCGGGAAAAAACGUGUGAGAGAAUAACUGCUCUCCAUGUGACGGUCCCUGAAAAAAAACCCCCGGCUAACUACUUGCCAACCCCCGCGGUAAUACUUAGGGGGCAAGCUUUUUCCGAAAUUUUUGGGCGUAAAGCGCGCCCAGGCGGUUUUUUAAUUCUGGUUUUUAAUCCCGGGGCUCAACCCCGGAUCGCACUGGAAACUGGGUGACUUGAGUGCAAAAAAAGAGAGUGGAAUUCCCCGUGUAGCGGUGAAAUGCGUAUAUAUGUGGGAGGAACACCCNNUGGCAAAAGGCGACUCUCUUGGCUGUAACUGACACUGAAGCGCGAAAACGUGUGGGANAAAACAAGNNAUAUAUACCCCNG
rnacentral:rRNA from 1 species